rnacentral:rRNA from 1 species
CCUACGGGGGGCAGCAGUGAGGAAUAUUGGUCAAUGGACGAGAGUCUGAACCAGCCAAGUAGCGUGAAGGAUGACUGCCCUAUGGGUUGUAAACUUCUUUUAUAUGGGAAUAAAAUGUUCCACGUGUGGGAUUUUGUAUGUACCAUAUGAAUAAGGAUCGGCUAACUCCGUGCCAGCAGCCGCGGUAAUACGGAGGAUCCGAGCGUUAUCCGGAUUUAUUGGGUUUAAAGGGAGCGUAGGUGGAUUGUUAAGUCAGUUGUGAAAGUUUGCGGCUCAACCGUAAAAUUGCAGUUGAAACUGGCAGUCUUGAGUACAGUAGAGGUGGGCGGAAUUCGUGGUGUAGCGGUGAAAUGCUUAGAUAUCACGAAGAACUCCGAUUGUGAAGGCAGUUCACUGGACUGCAACUGACACUGAGGCUCGAAAGUGAGGGUAUCAAACAGGAUUAGAUACCCCUGUAGUC